CCCAGAAUACCGAAAACGGAAAACCUUCUUCAAACCCUUGCAGCUACUUCGCUACCGAAGCAGCUGUGUUUUGCUGAAAGUGGAAUGCUUGUCCUCUUCUGAUAAGUUUCUAGGGUUUCACUAGCUAGCUAGCUGCAUAGGAUCUUCUCAGUAGCUAUGGGAGGAUCCCGAGUUCAAGUUAACAAACCUCACAAGUCCCGUUUCUCCUCCAAAUCAUCUCGUCACCUUC
rnacentral:misc_RNA from 1 species